rnacentral:rRNA from 1 species
AACGAACGCUGGCGGCAGGCUUAACACAUGCAAGUCGAACGCCCCUUCGGGGGAGUGGCAGACGGGUGAGUAACGCGUGGGAAUCUACCCAGUUCUGCGGAACAACAGUUGGAAACGACUGCUAAUACCGCAUACGCCCUACGGGGGAAAGAUUUAUCGGAAUUGGAUGAGCCCGCGUAAGAUUAGCUAGUUGGUGAGGUAAUGGCGCACCAAGGCCAAGAUCUUUAGCUGGUCUGAGAGGAUGAGCAGCCACACUGGGACUGAGACACGGCCCAGACUCCUACGGGAGGCAGCAGUGGAGAAUAUUGGACAAUGGGCGCAAGCCUGAUCCAGCCAUGCCGCGUGAGUGAUGAAGGCCUUAGGGUUGUAAAGCUCUUUCAGUAGGGAAGAUAAUGACGGUACCUACAGAAGAAGCCCCGGCUAACUUCGUGCCAGCAGCCGCGGUAAGAC